UACGGAGGGGGCUAGCGUUGUUCGGAAUUACUGGGCGUAAAGCGCACGUAGGCGGCUUUGUAAGUUAGAGGUGAAAGCCUGGAGCUCAACUCCAGAAUUGCCUUUAAGACUGCAUCGCUUGAAUCAUGGAGAGGUGGGUGGAAUUCCGAGUGUAGAGGUGAAAUUCGUAGAUAUUCGGAAGAACACCAGUGGCGAAGGCGGCCCACUGGACAUGUAUUGACGCUGAGGUGCGAAAGCGUGGGGAG
rnacentral:rRNA from 1 species